ensembl:snRNA U6 U6 spliceosomal RNA
AUAUUUUGGUAGUACAUAUACUAAAACUGGAAAAGAUUAGCACAGCCCCUGUGCAAGGACGUCAUGCAAAUGUGUGAACUGUACCAUAAAAAA